AGGCUGUUUGUGUACCACAUUCCUGUUGAGAACAGCGUGGUUUUGGGGAAAGAAGAAAGGGAAAGCAGCUGAAAAUCAAAUCCUUCAUGUGCUUUGUUCACCUGAAACCCAAAGCAAUUUCUGAGCUCACUUUCAAUAUCUUUCUAUUAAAGCAGACCUUUUUUUUUUUUUUUCCUAGAAAUUGCUCUCAGGUUCUUGAUCAGCUUGAAUAAGCACAAUGCCUUCCCUUGUCAGAGGGGCCCACUUCAGCUGUAAAUCUGAUGUUGAGAAAUUAGAUUUCUCUACUGCUCCCAAGCUGUCAUCAGAAGAGGAAGACAACAGCGACUCGUGGGGAGAGCUGAGCCUGGCAUUGCUGGCUGCUGAGGCUCAGUUCUGGAGUGAUAACUUUGAAGUGCUGUGAGGAUCCACUGGAUUUUGGCACCAACCCUUGGGAUGUGUUGGCAUCUUCACUCUACCCUCCUUCCCCAGGGUGGUGUUUGUCAGGGACCUCUCCAUGGUUUCAAACCAGGUCCAGAACUGGACACACCAUCCUGCACACCACAUUUAGAUGCUGGAACUGAUGCAAAGAAAGAGGUAAAAAUAUUAAUAUCUCUUGAUUAAUCAAUUGGUCAAGGCGGCAGCACAGAGUCUUUGUUGUGCCUUACAAUGUUGUUCCUUCCCCUUCCUGGUGUCACAACAAGGAUGUUGUGUUUUGCUGAGUCCUUCCUUGCUUGGGGCCAGUCAUUUAUCAACAGAG
rnacentral:lncRNA from 1 species